GCCCGCUUAGCUCAGUGGUAGAGCGCAUCACUAGUAAAAACACUCCUGUUCGUUCCAGGUUCAGGUCUAUGAUGAGGUCGCCAGUUCGAUCCUGGUAGUGGGCA